rnacentral:rRNA from 1 species
GGGUUGUGAGGUUAAGCGACUAAGCGUACACGGUGGAUGCCCUGGCAGUCAGAGGCGAUGAAGGACGUGCUAAUCUGCGAUAAGCGUCGGUAAGGUGAUAUGAACCGUUAUAACCGGCGAUUUCCGAAUGGGGAAACCCAGUGUGUUUCGACACACUAUCAUUAACUGAAUCCAUAGGUUAAUGAGGCGAACCGGGGGAACUGAAACAUCUAAGUACCCCGAGGAAAAGA